GCUCACUAGUGACAAGAGUGGCCUUCUUUCCUUCCUUUUCCCCAAAUACUGAGAGAAGUGGGAGGCCAGCCUGCAAAUGUCACAGAAGCCUAUAAAAUGCUGAGCUCAGACGGAUGCCAGGCAUAGCUGGGGUUGCUGGGCUGAUGAGAUGGGCGACUCCAUCAUCUGCUAAGAAUCCAUUGUUCUGCAGCGGCUUGGACACAAUGGUACACUGUAGCUGUCUUCAGACGCACCAGAAGAAGGCAUCAGAUCUCAUUACAGAUAGUUGUGAGCCACCAUGUGGUUGCUGGGAUUUGAACUCAGGACCUCUGGAAGAGCAGUCAGUGCUCUUAACCAUUGAGCCAUCUCUCCAGCUCCGGGAGUGGUACUAUUAGGCGUGGCCUUAUUUGAAGAGGUGUGGCUUCAUUGGAAGAAGUGUGCUUCUGUGUGUGGGGUUUGAGGUCUCCUAUGCCCAGGUUCUGUGCAGCAUGUAAGAGAUCUUUCUCCUGGCUGCCUUUGGAUCAAGAUGUGGAACUCUCAGCUCUUCCUGCAGCACCAUGACUGCCUGGAUGCUGCCACACUUUCCACCAUGGUGAUACUGGACUAAACCUCUGAACUGUAAGCCAGCCCCAAUUAAAUGUUUGCCUUUAUAAG
rnacentral:lncRNA from 1 species